rnacentral:piRNA from 1 species
UGCCACCAAAAGGUAUUUACAGGUUUGGC